rnacentral:piRNA from 1 species
UAAGGUGUGAAUGACGGUGAAUGACUGU